GGGGAUAUGGCUCAGUGGUAAAGCACAGCCUAGUAUAUGCAAGGUCCUGGGUUCAAUCACCAGUACCACA
rnacentral:tRNA from 1 species